AGGGGGAAGCCGGUGCAAUUCCGGCGCUGACCCGCAACCGUGAGUCCGGCCCGCAGGGGCCCGGCGAGCCGGAUCGCCC
rnacentral:ncRNA from 2 species